rnacentral:rRNA from 1 species
UACGGGGGGGGUAAGCGUUGUUCGGAAUUACUGGGCGUAAAGGGCUCGUAGGCGGCCAACUAAGUCAGACGUGAAAUCCCUCAGCUUAACUGGGGAACUGCGUCUGAUACUGGAUGGCUUGAGUUUGGGAGAGGGACGCGGAAUUCCAGGUGUAGCGGUGAAAUGCGUAGAUAUCUGGAGGAACACCGGCGGCGAAGGCGGCGUCCUGGACCAACACUGACACUGAUGAGCGAAAGCCAGGGGAGCAAACGGG